GGCAGCAUGGAGAGCUUGCUCUCUGAUGGCGAGUGGCGAACGGGUGAGUAAUAUAUCGGAACGUGCCCAGUCGUGGGGGAUAACGCAGCGAAAGCUGUGCUAAUACCGCAUACGAUCUAUGGAUGAAAGCGGGGGACCUUCGGGCCUCGCGCGAUUGGAGCGGCCGAUAUCUGAUUAGGUAGUUGGUAGGAUAAAAGCCUACCAAGCCGACGAUCAGUAGCUGGUCUGAGAGGACGAUCAGCCACACUGGAACUGAGACACGGUCCAGACUCC
rnacentral:rRNA from 1 species